AAAUAUUUUUGAUUACCUAACUAGCCGUUCAUCCCAGUUUCCCCAAUGUGUUUUCUAGGUUUCCUAGUAGUACCCCAUUUAUUUUUUCGUGUGUUCUUUAUCCUCAUCUGACAAACAACGCAACAAAAAUAAAUACCUAUCUAUUUAUUCUGUACCUAGUUAUAAAAUAAUACGAUCUAGUGACUGAUUCUUCACUACGAAAUGCUAACCAUCAGUGCUACAAACAUUGAAAUUCCUUGCAGACCGUCUACCACCACCUUUCAUAGUAACUCCAAAAAAGUGGGACAAACAGAUUUAUAGCAGCAGAGCAGCGAGUGAAUUCAUGGAACUUAAUUUCAUGAUAUUGUAUUUUGACGGAGUAGCCCAUCGUGCAGCUACAACCGGUGGUGCCCCAGAGAACCCACGACAAUCUGGAGGUAAUAAAGCUCGCGGUUGCGCACGUACCCCACCCGUUGGCUAUAUGUUGAAAAGGACCGCAUCAGCCUGAGAGUUCCACAAGCUAUAAAGACCACAACAGUGGCGUUUGGAGGAG